rnacentral:rRNA from 1 species
AGUCAACCUGCCCUAAAGACACUGACAACCCCGGGUAACUGGGAUUAAUCCGUGAUAGGUCAUCUCAUCUGGAAGGAGAGAUGGCUUAAAGGGGUGCGAGAGCUUCUUUCUUGUACUCGCUUUAGGAUGGGACUGCGGCCGAUCAGGCUGUUGGUGGGGUAAUGGCCCACCAAACCUGUUACCGGUACGGGCCUUGAGAGAGGGGGCCCGGAGAUGGACACUGAGAGAAGGGUCCAGGUCCUACGGGGCGCAGCAGGCGCGAAACCUUCGCAAUGCGCGAAAGCGUGACGAGGUUAAUCCGAGUGGUCCCCGCUGAGGGGAUCUUUUGUUGGCUCUAAAACGGCCAGUGAAUAAGGGGAGGGCAAGUCUGGUGUCAGCCGCCGCGGUAAUACCAGCUCCUCGAGUGGUCGGGGCGAUUAUUGGGCCUAAAGCAUCCGUAGCCUGUUCUGUAGGUCCUCUGUUAAAUCCAACGGCUUAACCGUUGGCCCGCAGAGGAUACCGCAGGACUAGGAGGCGGGAGAGGUGGACGGUACUCCACGUGUAGGGGUAAAAUCCUUUGAUCCGUGGAAGACCACCAGUGGCGAAGGCGGUCCACCAGAACGCGCUCGACGGUGAGGGAUGAAAGCUGGGGGAGCGAACCGGAUUAGAUACCCGGGUAGUCCCAGCCGUAAACGAUGCAAGCUAGAUGAUCCGGUCGCAAAUCGCGAUCGGAGUGUCGCAGGGAAGCCGUUAAGCUUGCCGCCUGGGGAGUACGGUCGCAAGACU